rnacentral:lncRNA from 1 species
UUUUUAACACUAUUUUGAAAAUGGUUGAAGGUGAGGCCAUCCCUUCUCAGUACCUAUUUGUCUCUUUCUUCAUCCUCUCACACAAAAAACCACUCUUCCUCCGUUUCCCCCACACAACCCCAUUUUCAGCAGAUACUUCAUCAUCAUCUUCUUCUCUCUUUUGUAUUUCUUUCUCUCCCAUAACUCUCCCAUAUCUUAUGUGUUUGAUGCCAACAAUGAUUCAAAAAGUAAUUAGGAACGGAGGUGUGUGCAAAGACAGAGAUUUUGAGUAAUUUCUCGAUUUCAGAGAUUCCAAUGGAGGUCGGGGAUGCGAUAAGGGAUAAUGAACGAAUGAGCCUAAACCCUCGCGCCUGGCGUCGUAGAAGGGC